CCCGGUUUCUGUUUCUGUUCCUGCUUUACUUCCUGUUUACUCGUUGUCACAGCUGUUCCCUGUCAGUACCGGUCUUCAUUACACACACCUGUUUAGUAUCAGUGAUCAACUCCCUGUAUUUGACCACCACCUGUUUCCCUAGCUCUUUGCCAGAUCGUUGUUUCGUGUGUCAUCGUUGUUUCCCCAGUUCAUUGUUCCUGCCCGGCCGUGUUUUCGUGUAUCCUGGUUUUGAUGAUCGACCUUGUUUGCCUGCCUGACCACGCUUCUCCGCCUGACGACUCGAAAGAAUCUUUUCCUACAGUCCGUCAUCCACACACUGUAGUGGGCACAUCCCAGUUAACCACAGGCAAGGAGGUUGUCGAACAGAUAAAUCACUGCAGACUGUUGGCACACAGACAUCUGCUACUCAGCUCAGGAGUGAAGGAAACACUGCCCUUAUCUACAAGACCGGGGAAGAUGGGGUGACAACUUGGACUCUUCACCCAGCAGUCCCCAGCACCAGCUAACAAAACUUCUCUAGGCUAGAUACCUGCAACGACUUGAAAUACACACAGACAUAUUACUGUCAAAUUUAUAAAGAAAAAAAUGCAAGGAAAUAACUACAUUUCUAUUAGUUAUAUAUUAGCACUUGAUAUAUUAUAGACAUUAGUAAAAGCAAAUGAAAAGGGGUUAAUAUGUAUUCAGAACCAAAGCUAUCUUUGUAAACCAGAGUUCCCAGGUAGGUUAUGCUGUGAUUAAUCUGUAAAUAGUAAAAUGUUUUGAAAUUGUUUAUGAAAUUCUGAGAUACUGAUUUGCAUGUGUAAUUGUCCAUAAUGUGUCUGAUAUACUGCAUAUUAAAUGCAUUAUGUAAUAAAUACACAUUUAAACAUACUGGCUCCAGUCAACAUCAACCAUACAUGACUGAGGAUUUGGCAAUCAAGCUAUACUACCAAAAAUUUAUGUAGUUGUGUUAUGAAUAUUCUGUUCAGACUGCAUAGGCUAUUGGCAACGUUACGUUAGCAGAAGCUCAUCAAAUAUUAUAUAAAUUAUAUAAAUCAAUAAACUGGAUGAAAUGUGAAAUUUCCAUUGAGACAUACCUUGCACCAGUCGAAGUGUAAUUUUCAACAACCUCCCAUUCAGCUGCAGAUUCUGGAUGAAACAUCCGGUUGAAUUCCACUACCGAUGGUGGUAGCCAUUUUCGCUGUUACAAUGGUUCAGUGACUAUGACUUAUGAUCCCUGUGGUGGGUCACAGCUAUG